rnacentral:rRNA from 1 species
GUCUAUGGCCAUGCCACGCUGAAUAAGCCUGAUCCCAUUUGAUCUCGGAAGCUAAGCAGGGUUGGGCCUGGUUAGUAUGUGGAUGCGAGACCACCUAGGAGGACCAGGUGCUGUAGGUG